rnacentral:lncRNA from 1 species
CAUUUAUGUCCAAAAAUCUCCGUCUCGUUAGCACAUGAUGUAAGCCAGCCGGACUUCUCGUCAUGAACGAGGGGAAAAAAUAUAAUUCCGUUCGUUCAAACAUGUCAAACGUUGUAUAGCAUAAAUCAUUAGGGCCUUUUUUAACCAGAACAUGAAUAAUAUUCAAGGUGGACGAAUGCAUACUCUUUUAUAACGUAUUGGAACGAGGGUACCCAACAUGAACUCGCGCGCAAGGUGUCUAAUGGGACAUCAUCGUUCCAUGGCUCUUGUUCGGUCAGAUCUCCCUCCAGAAGACUCAAAACACUUUGUAAAGGCUGGUGACAUCUAGUGGAAGCAAUAGGAAGUGCCAAAAUAUUCCUCAGCCCCUGUGUUUUUCAAUGGGAUAGGUUUAAAGGUAAUACAACACAUCAGGUAUCCACUUCCUGUCAGAAAAUGUCUCAGGGUUUUGCCUGCCAAAUGAGUUCUGUUAUACUCAGACACCAUUCAAACAGUUUUAGAAAAUUU